rnacentral:rRNA from 1 species
GACGAAGGGGGCUAGCGUUGUUCGGAAUUACUGGGCGUAAAGCGCGUGUAGGCGGUUCUCCAAGUUGGGUGUGAAAGCCUUGGGCUUAACCCAAGAAAUGCACUCAGUACUGGAAGACUAGAGGACCGGAGAGGAUAGUGGAAUUCCCAGUGUAGUGGUGAAAUACGUAGAGAUUGGGAAGAACACCAGUGGCGAAGGCGGCUAUCUGGACGGUUUCUGACGCUAAGACGCGAAAGCGUGGGGAGCAAACAGG